AUUGAACGCUGGCGGCAUGCCUUACACAUGCAAGUCGAACGGUAACAGGUCUUCGGAUGCUGACGAGUGGCGAACGGGUGAGUAAUACAUCGGAACGUGCCUAGUAGUGGGGGAUAACUACUCGAAAGAGUGGCUAAUACCGCAUGAGAUCUACGGAUGAAAGCAGGGGAUCGCAAGACCUUGUGCUACUAGAGCGGCCGAUGGCAGAUUAGGUAGUUGGUGGGAUAAAAGCUUACCAAGCCGACGAUCUGUAGCUGGUCUGAGAGGACGAUCAGCCACACUGGGACUGAGAGACGGCCCAGACUCCUACGGGAGGCAGCAGUGGGGAAUUUUGGACAAUGGGCGCAAGCCUGAUCCAGCAAUGCCGCGUGCAGGAUGAAGGCCUUCGGGUUGUAAACUGCUUUUGUACGGAACGAAAAGCCCUGGGUUAAUACCCUGGGGUCAUGACGGUACCGUAAGAAUAAGCACCGGCUAACUACGUGCCAGCAGCCGCUGUAA
rnacentral:rRNA from 1 species